AUGAACGCUGGCGGCGUGCCUAAUACAUGCCAGUCGAGCGAACGGACGAGAAGCUUGCUUUUCUGAUGUUAGCGGCGGACGGGUGAGUAACACGUGGAUAACCUACCUAUAAGACUGGGAUAACUUCGGGAAACCGGAGCUAAUACCGGAUAAUAUUUUGAACCGCAUGGUUCAAAAGUGAAAGACGGUCUUGCUGUUACUUAUAGAUGGAUCCGCGCUGCAUUAGCUAGUUGGUAAGGUAACGGCUUACCAAGGCAACGAUGCAUAGCCGACCUGAGAGGGUGAUCGGCCACACUGGAACUGAGACACGGUCCAGACUCCUACGGGAGGCAGCAGUAGGGAAUCUUCCGCAAUGGGCGAAAGCCUGACGGAGCAACGCCGCGUGAGUGAUGAAGGUCUUCGGAUCGUAAAACUCUGUUAUUAGGGAAGAACAUAUGUGUAAGUAACUGUGCACAUCUUGACGGUACCUAAUCAGAAAGCCACGGCUAACUACGUG
rnacentral:rRNA from 1 species